UACGGAGGGGGCGAGCGUUAUUCGGAAUUAUUGGGCGUAAAGGGCGCGUAGGCGGCCUGCUAAGUCGAACGUGAAAUCCCCGGGCUCAACCCGGGAACUGCGUCCGAUACUGGCAGGCUUGAAUCCGGGAGAGGGAUGCGGAAUUCCAGGUGUAGCGGUGAAAUGCGUAGAUAUCUGGAGGAACACCGGUGGCGAAGGCGGCAUCCUGGACCGGCCCUGACACUGAGACGCGAAGGCGUGGGGAGCGAACGGG
rnacentral:rRNA from 1 species